GAUGAAGAACGCAGCGAAAUGCGAUAAGUAAUGUGAAUUGUAGAAUUCAGUGAAUCAUCGAGUCUUUGAACGCACAUUGCGCCCCCUGGUAUUCCGGGGGGCAUGCCUGUCCGAGCGUCAUUGCUGCCCUCAAGCACGGCUUGUGUGUUGGGCCCCCGUCCCCGGUUUCCCCCGGGGACGGGCCCGAAAGGCAGCGGCGGCACCGCGUCCGGUCCUCGAGCGUAUGGGGCUUUGUCACCCGCUCUGUAGGCCCGGCCGGCGCCAGCCGACACCCAACUUUAUUUCUAAGGUUGACCUCGGAUCAGGUAGGGAUACCCGCUGAACUUAAGCAUAUCAAUAAGCGGAGGA
rnacentral:misc_RNA from 1 species